GAUGAACGCUGGCGGCGUGCCUAAUACAUGCAAGUCGAGCGAACAGACGAGGAGCUUGCUCCUCUGACGUUAGCGGCGGACGGGUGAGUAACACGUGGAUAACCUACCUAUAAGACUGGGAUAACUUCGGGAAACCGGAGCUAAUACCGGAUAAUAUAUUGAACCGCAUGGUUCAAUAGUGAAAGACGGUUUUGCUGUCACUUAUAGAUGGAUCCGCGCCGCAUUAGCUAGUUGGUAAGGUAACGGCUUACCAAGGCAACGAUGCGUAGCCGACCUGAGAGGGUGAUCGGCCACACUGGAACUGAGACACGGUCCAGGGUCCUACGGGAGGCAGCAGUAGGGAAUCGUCCGCAAUGGGCGAAAGCCUGACGGAGCAACGCCGCGUGGGUGAUGAAGGUCUUCGGAUCGUAAAACUCUGUUAUUAGGGAAGAACAAAUGUGUAAGUAACUAUGCACGUCUUGACGGUACCUAAUCAGAAAGCCACGGCUAACUACGUG
rnacentral:rRNA from 1 species